CAGCAGCCGCGGUAAUACGUAGGGUGCGAGCGUUAAUCGGAAUUACUGGGUGUAAAGCGUGCGCAGGCGGUUAUAUAAGACAGAUGUGAAAUCCCCGGGCUCAACCUGGGACCUGCAUUUGUGACUGUAUAGCUAGAGUACGGUAGAGGGGGAUGGAAUUCCGCGUGUAGCAGUGAAAUGCGUAGAUAUGCGGAGGAACACCGAUGGCGAAGGCAAUCCCCUGGACCUGUACUGACGCUCAUGCACGAAAGCGUGGGGAGCAAACAGGAUUAGAUACCCGGGUAGUCCCUGUCUCUUAUAC
rnacentral:rRNA from 1 species